rnacentral:rRNA from 1 species
CUCAAAGAUUAAGCCAUGCAUGUCUAUGCACAGGCCUUAUACUGGUGAAGCCGCGAAUGGCUCAUUACAACAGCCUCGGCUUAUUAGAUUUUCGUUAUCCUAUCUGGAUAACUGUGGCAAUUCUAGAGCUAAUACAUGCAAAAAAGUCCGAACUCUUGUUUGUCCGGAAUGAACGCAUUUAUUAGAAUAAAAACCAAUCGAGUUUUCCUACACCAGAUUCGUCUUUUUGGUGAAUCUGAAUAACUUAGCUGAUCGCACGGUCUCCGUACCGGCGACGUAUCUUUCAAAUGUCUGCCUUAUCAACUUUCGAUGGUAGGUUAUACGCCUACCAUGGUAGUAACGGGUAACGGAGAAUAAGGGUUCGACUCCGGAGAGGGAGCCUGAGAAAUGGCUACCACAUCCAAGGAAGGCAGCAGGCGCGCAAAUUACCCACUUCCAUAACGGAGAGGUAGUGACGAAAAAUAACGAGACAGUCCUCUUCGAGGUCUGUCAUCGGAAUGGGUACAGUUUUUACAUUUUAACGAGGAUCUAUUGGAGGGCAAGUCUGGUGCCAGCAGCCGCGGUAAUUCCAGCUCCAAUAGCGUAUAUUAAAGUUGUUGCGGUUAAAACGCUCGUAGUUGGAUUCGCGACUAUUGGAUAACGGUCCCUCGAAAGGGCGGUCACUGUUUAUCCUGGUCUUUAUUUUAUUCGGAUUCUCGCGGUAGGUGCUCUCUGUCGGGGGCUCAAAGUGGGUGGGAUGUUUACUUUGAAAAAAUUAGAGUGCUGGAAGCAGGCGAUUUAGCCUGAAUAAAGGUGCAUGGAAUAAUGGAAUAGGACCUCGGUUCUAUUUUGUUGGUUUUCGAGGCCAGAAAUAAUGAUUAAGAGGAACAGACGGGGGCAUUCGUAUUCAGGCGCUAGAGGUGAAAUUCUUGGACCGCCCCAAGACGAGUAACUGCGAAAGCAUUUGCCAAGAAUGUUUUCAUUAAUCAAGAACGAAAGUUAGAGGUUCGAAGGCGAUCAGAUACCGCCCUAGUUCUAACCGUAAACGAUGCCAACCAGCGAUUAAUCGGCAGUAAUAUAUGACCCGAUUAGGGGCUUCCGGGAAACCAAAGUUUUUCGGUUCCGGGGGAAGUAUGGUUGCAAAGCUGAAACUUAAAGGAAUUGACGGAAGGGCACCACCAGGAGUGGAGCCUGCGGCUUAAUUUGACUCAACACGGGAAAUUUCACCCGGCCCGGACACCGUAAGGAUUGACAGACUGACAGCUCUUUCUUAAUUCGGUGGGUGGUGGUGCAUGGCCGUUCUUAGUUGGUGGAGCGAUUUGUCUGGUUAAUUCCGAUAACGAACGAGACUCUGGCCUAUUAAAUAGUGUUGUCAUUUUCCCAACAGUGAUUCUUACUUCUUAGAGGGACAAGCGGCGUCUAGCCGCAUGAAAUAGAGCAAUAACAGGUCUGUGAUGCCUUUGGAUGUCCGGGGCUGCACGCGCGCUACACUGAAAGAAGCAUAAUGCGUCGAUUGACCCUAGUCCUUAAGGAUCGGGUAACCCAAGAAAAUUCUUUCGUGCUUGGGAUAGGGAAUUGGGGUUAUUUCCCUUAAACGAGGAAUUCCCAGUAAAUGCGGGUCAUAAGCUCGCGUUGAUUACGUCCCUGCCCUUUGUACACACCGCCCGUCGCUACUACCGAUUGGAUGACUCAGUGAGGUCUUAGGACCGAAAUAGAUGCGCCUUAACGGGUGCCUUUAUUUUGGGAAUUCGAUCAAACUGCGUUAUCUAGAGGAAGU